rnacentral:lncRNA from 1 species
CCUUAACUCGAUGAUGUUAGAGAAUCCAGAAGAAAAUGAAGAGAAAUUUUAUUACAGAGAGUCAAGGAUGAAGUGCAGCAGAUGCUGUUGCGAUGCACUAGAUAUACUGAAGAUCUACUAAGUAGGGAUUACCUCUUUGAUCUCAAAUUCUCUGUUUCCACAUACAGUGCUUUUGGAGUGGUGCUUACAUCUUCCUCGUUGAAAAAAAAAUACUCAUAUACUGAAGGCCAAAAUGGUGAAUUGAUGUUCAUAAAUCUAUCUGAAGUUAAAAUCUUCAAACAAGAAACUUCCAAAUUGAAAGCAACAUCCUGAUUUCAUGGUACAAAAUUUAUAUGAUUCUGAAGCUAAAGUUAGCUUCAGAUGCAUACAAAUUGGUAGAUGAUCUGAAGCCAAAGAUAUCUUCAGAUGCAGACAAAUUGGGAGAUGAUCUAAGGCCAAAGACAUCAUCAGAUUUCAUCAGCUUUGAUACCAGUAAAAUGCUGAAAAAAAUGAAGACAGCAAUAGGAAGCAAUUAUGCUCUGAUACCAUGUUGAAUUCUUGAAUUAGAAACUUUGAAUUACACUCCAUAAAAGGAGAAGAACAAAUACACUCCAUGAAAGGAGGAAAACAAACCUCCAUGAAAUAAGGAGUUGGAAUACAAUCCAAUGAUUUCUCAAUGCAUACAAUGACUCUAUUUAUAGAGAAAAUGGUAGAGUAAUUAACUAACUUUCUAGCUAAUCAACCAACUAACCUAACUAACAUAACAAAACUAGACAAUCUAGAAUCUGGAAUCUGGUGAGUUGGCUGAGCUGGAAGGAAGAUUUUGAUGUUGUUGGUUGAUCUACUGAUGUGUGGUGCUGGUAUAUUCUAAUAGUAAAUACAAUUAUUGUCUAUCAACUUAUAGCUGUAUAUGUUAACACGCAGACAUUGUUUAAUUUUCCAUUGAUCUAGGCAUA